GUGCCAGCAGCCGCGGUAAUACGAAGGGUGCAAGCGUUAAUCGGAAUUACUGGGCGUAAAGCGUGCGUAGGUGGUUUCUUAAGUCUGCUGUGAAAGCCCUGGGCUCAACCUGGGAAUGGCGGUGGAUACUGAGGAGCUAGAGUGCGGUAGAGGAGGGUGGAAUUCCCGGUGUAGCGGUGAAAUGCGUAGAGAUCGGGAGGAACAUCAGUGGCGAAGGCGGCCCUCUGGACCAGCACUGACGCUGAGGCACGAAAGCGUGGGGAGCAAACAGGAUUAGAUACCCUGGUAGUCCACGCCCUAAACGAUGCGGACUGGACGUUGGGCACAAUUCGGUGCUCAGUGUCGAAGCUAACGCGUUAAGUCCGCCGCCUGGGGAGUACGCUCGCAAGAGUGAA
rnacentral:rRNA from 1 species